rnacentral:rRNA from 1 species
GAGUUUGAUCCUGGCUCAGGACGAACGCUGGCGGCAUGCCUAACACAUGCAAGUCGAACGGAGUAUGGGAAGCACCAAUUGCUUCCGAAACGAAGUGACCGGGAGGCUUUUGAAGGGAAGACUGUUUGGUUAUCCCGGAGGGAGCGGAACGGAAACGGAGGUAAGCCAGGCGCUUGAAGAAAGUGAUUGGUGCUUUUCAUACUUAGUGGCGAACGGGUGAGUAACGCGUGAGCAACCUGCCUCAAUGAGGGGGAUAACACUUGGAAACAGGUGCUAAUACCGCAUAAGACCACACCGCCGCAUGACGGAGGGGUCAAAGGAGAGAUCCGCAUUGAGAGGGGCUCGCGUCCCAUUAGGUAGAUGGCGGGGUAACGGCCCACCAUGCCGACGAUGGGUAGCCGAGCUGAGAGGCUGAUCGGCCACACUGGAACUGAGACACGGUCCAGACUCCUACGGGAGGCAGCAGUGGGGAAUAUUGGGCAAUGGGCGAAAGCCUGACCCAGCAAUGCCGCGUGAGGGAAGAAGGUCUUCGGAUUGUAAACCUCUGUCCUUGGUGACGAAGGAAGUGACGGUAGCCAAGGAGGAAGCCCCGGCUAACUACGUGCCAGCAGCCGCGGUAAUACGUAGGGGGCGAGCGUUGUCCGGAAUUACUGGGCGUAAAGGGCGUGUAGGCGGCCUGAUAAGUAUGGAGUGAAAGUCCUGCAUUCAAUGUGGGAAUUGCUUUGUAGACUGUCGGGCUUGAGUGCGGAAGUGGUAAGUGGAAUUCCCAGUGUAGCGGUGAAAUGCGUAGAGAUUGGGAGGAACACCAGUGGCGAAGGCGACUUACUGGGCCGUAACUGACGCUGAGGCGCGAAAGCGUGGGGAGCGAACAGGAUUAGAUACCCUGGUAGUCCACGCGGUAAACGAUGAAUGCUAGGUGUUGCGGGUAUCGACCCCUGCAGUGCCGGAGUAAACACAAUAAGCAUUCCGCCUGGGGAGUACGGCCGCAAGGUUGAAACUCAAAGGAAUUGACGGGGGCCCGCACAAGCUGCGGAGCAUGUUGUUUAAUUCGAAGCUACGCGAAGAACCUUACCAGGUCUUGACAUCCGAUUAAAGCCUUAGAGAUAAGGUGUCCCUUCGGGGGAAUCGAGACAGGUGGUGCAUGGUUGUCGUCAGCUCGUGUCGUGAGAUGUUGGGUUAAGUCCCGCAACGAGCGCAACCCUUAUGGUCGGUUACUAACGCGUAGCGGCGAGGACUCUGACAAGACUGCCGGGGACAACUCGGAGGAAGGUGGGGACGACGUCAAAUCAUCAUGCCCCUUAUGUCUUGGGCUACACACGUGCUACAAUGGCUGCAACAAAGGGAAGCGACAGCGCAAGCUGAAGCGGAUCUCAGAAAAACAGUCCCAGUUCGGAUUGUGGGCUGCAACCCGCCCACAUGAAGUCGGAGUUGCUAGUAAUCGCGGAUCAGAAUGCCGCGGUGAAUACGUUCCCGGGCCUUGUACACACCGCCCGUCACACCAUGGGAGUUGGGAGUGCCCGAAGUCAGUAUCCUAACCGCAAGGGGGGAGCUGCCGAAGGCAAGACCAAUGACUGGGGUGAAGUCGUAACAAGGUAGCCGUAUCGGAAGGUGCGGCUGGAUCACCUCCUU